GUUGGUAUCAAAACCUAGGUUUGAGGGAUUCAGGAACAUUCUCAAGUGUGUCAGAACUCAAAAUGAGGAAUUGAUAAUGUUUUCAAAAGAAAAAUGAGUUUCUAAAAAGGUUUUACUAAGAAAAUGGAGAUGAUGCGUGCAAUCAUCCGAGCUUAAGUAAGGCGCUGUUUGUUUGGGUCUUAAUGCCUCUUAAAAAGAGACACGUCUGAAUUUAUAACAUUCAUAUCGUUUGGUUGCAACUUAAUUUAUCAUCUAAACUGCAAAAAGAGAUCUGAGCGAAUCAGAAGUAAACCUAAGUCUGAAUUUUUUUUGUUUGACACACUUCCUAAUAUGCCCCGACCUAAACAUGCUUUCCCUCUUCUCCUCCGCAUCACUUGCUUCAUCCGCCUUCUCAAGUUCUCCAUAUUGUUCACAUCUUCGACCAUGUCCCUCCAGGUCACCGCCGUCGCCAACCCUUGAGCCAGCUCCACCUAGUUCCCCCGUCAAUCCUUACACCCUUCUCCGAUAAAUAUGUCGCCGCCAGUUUCGCUGCCUCCGCCAGCGACUCUGAUCUGGGAUUGCAGGUAACCUUUACUUUUCUUUUUCUCAUGAAAAUCGAUUUUUAUACAUUGAUUUGUUCUUUUUUUUUUCCCUGAAUUCGAUUAUCGGCUGGCCAUGAUUCAUAUGGUCUGACCACUUUAUCAGUAUACCUGGUUUGAUUUUGGGGAUAAUUAUUAUUUUAUUUCCUAAAUUGGAGUACAUUCUCUCUGAUCUGGGAUUGCAGGUAACCUUUACUUUUCUUUUUCUCAUGAAAAUCGAUUUUUAUACAUUGAUUUGUUCUUUUUUUUUUCCCUGAAUUCGAUUAUCGGCUGGCCAUGAUUCAUAUGGUCUGACCACUUUAUCAGUAUACCUGGUUUGAUUUUGGGGAUAAUUAUUAUUUUAUUUCCUAAAUUGGAGUACAUUCUGUUCAAAAUCUAUGUUGGAUGAAAUUUUUUUAACGGAAGGCCUAUAUGUGAAGCAUUUGCACAAAUAUAACAACAACCCAACAUCUAUGAUGUUCAUGUCAAGUAGUUUGAUGAGGUUUGUAUUGAUAAACACAAAUUAGGAAGGUGAUAAAGUUUUCUUUUAAUGGUGUUUUGUUAACACUUGAUACUUCUUUUAUAUAGGAUCCAUUAAGGUUAGAUGUUGUUAAAAGCUUUUCAUAUCAUGGCUUUCAUCUUCGUUUGGAACCAUGGUCUCAGGUUGUUGCGACCCCUUACCCCAUGUGUGUUGUGUGGUAUGUUUUGUAAUGCAUUUUAUGUUAAAAAUUUGAUUUUGUAUGACAUAAAAGCAGUUUUUUAUACAUAGAGUGUUAAUAAAUGAUAUAUUUUUUUAUUGGGUAUUUAGGUGAAAUGGAUGAAGAUUUUGCAAGCUUAUUUUUCGGAAGUUGUCAAAGUUGGUUGUCAUUUAUGUCUCAAACAUUUGGAUAUAUAUAUAUAUAUAUNAAGCUCAAAUUAAAGUAUACCCCAUCUUAAAAGAUCAAAGCUCAAAAGUCGGUGGGAAAAUUUUUAACCUUCAAUGUCAAGUAUGUUAUAUUUUAACUUUGAAAUCCUUGGGACAUAAAGAAAAUGAUUGUUAUUUUUGUAAAUUUAUCUCAAAAGAUCAUUACAAAUUAUUGAAUAUAAAUUUGAUUUAUGUUAAUUUGGAUUUUAUAUAGUGUUUACAUUUCUUUUAUUAUUAUUCAACAAAAAAUAAUAUAAAAGGGUAAAAUGGUCAUUUUCAUAAUUCAUCACAAUAAUUCAGAUGUUCCAACGAAACAAUAUUUGAUAAUUCAUAUCUUAAAAAAUCAGACCCUCUUAGAAAUGUAGACCUCUUAAAAAUUCAGAUCUUAAAUAUUCAUAUUUUGCCAAAAAGCCCCUAAGUAAUUCCCAAAAUACUCAUACCAAUGUAUUAUGACUAGUAUCCAUGUUAUGUGAGUUUCAUGCUAGAGUAUGGCUAAGGAUACCUUCAAGAGUCGUAUGCUAGAAUUGCAUGAUUUUUGUGAUGCCUUAUAAGCUAUAGGGAUUGGAUGUUAUGUAUUGUUUGGGAGUUAUAUCGGCUCAGUUAAUUGCUAAGUGUAUGCUUUAAAAAUUGUAUACGACUAGGAUCAUAUAGCCCUAGAAUGAUUGGUUUAGCCUUAUUUCCUAUUCCUUGUUUGGUUGUGGGCUUAGGGUAGAAUCAUUGAUUCGAUAGUCAAUUUGGUCCCAUUUUAUGUAUAAUUUGCAUGCAUAAGGAAACCAACAGUGUUGGUUGCGGUUCAUAGUUUUCUAGGGCGGUGAGUAGAGGAUUCCUAGGAGAGCGUAGGGAGUGCCCAAGUAGGAUUUGUAUGUUGCUUAGCAUAGGGAUUGUGUGUUUAUGUGUUUAGUAGGGUGACUUACAGGAUUCGUGAUGGUUCUUGAGGAAAUUCCAGAUAGGUAUGGAUGGUAGUAUUGGGCCCGUACUACUGAAAACAAAGGAUCUAUACUCGACUCAAGGAUGGUCUUGGAAGUUCUAAGGAUCCUGUAGAGUGGGAGUUCCCUUGAGUUUAUCACAUCAGAUAUUACUCGAGGAGCAGCUUUUGGUUCUAGUUCUGGCUCUGGUGCAGAGCCGAUUGAUGAGCAGCUUUGCGAGUUUAUCACAUCAGAGAUUACUCGUGGUAUUAUAGAGGCAACCCUUGUGUUUUUCGGUACCAUAAAGGAGGGGAUUAUGGAGAUUUUGGAUGAGUGUCUUGGAGCCUUUUGGGUGGAGAUCGUGCCAGGAAAGUUAGGAGCGCGGAAUCCAUCUUUCAAGGAGUUGAAGGCCUGUGGAGCUCCAGAGUUCAUUGGGGCUAAGGACCUCAUUGCUAGCCGUCGAUGGAUUGUUGACAUGGAGAAUUCUCAACGUACGAGCUUCUACCCUGAGAGGGCGAAGGUGGGGUUUGCAUCCUGCCUUUUGAGAGAUAGAUCCUGUUACUAAUGCGAGGAGGUCAAUCGUGCAUUUGGAUCUACGACUAUGGUGGCCAUUACUUAGAAAGAUUUUAUGACUAGAUACUAGGAGGAAUUUGAACCGACUAUUGAGGUGCAGUAGAUGGAGAGGGAUUUCUAGGACCUUCGCCAGACUAUUGAGAUUGUGGUGGGGAUCACUGCUAAAUUCUGAGAGAGGUGUUUGUUGGUUCUAUAAUAUGUUGCAGAUAAAGAAAUGAAGAAGACGAGAUAUCAUGAUAUGUUGAUAGAUGAUAUAAGAGUGUUCAUGAGCUUUUCAGGGUGCAAGACCCUAAAUGAGAUGAUUACUAGAGCCCGAGAAUGAGAAAUUGAGUUGGAGCUUCGAGCGAAGUGUGACAACUCGAAACUUAUCCCGUUUCCGUUACGCGAUUCUGUUAAUAAAAAUUCAAAAUUUGUUAACUUUUCUGUCAAACUCUUUGGUUUAUUAAAAUAAUCUAGUUAUAUUUAAUUUAAAUAUUUAUGAUUCGGAAUCAAAAAUCAAACAUUUUUGGUCUAAAUGGGAUUACGAUCGUAAAUGUGUUUACGGCCGUAAACUAGUUUACGACCGUAAACCCUGUUUACGGUCAGUGACGAGUGGACCCCAUUUGUCACCUUAUAAAUACGAUACCCCCACUCUCCUUAGAACAUUUUCUUCCCACAUUCUCUCCUCUUCUCUCUCUAAGUUCUUCAACCGUAAACUCACAAACACGCUUUUAGACUUCAGGAAACGUCGGAGAACACCUUUUGGAGCACUUUGGAGCGUCUGGAAUCACUUCUCGCAUCGAAAUCUGCAUUCAAAACCUCGUUUUUCGAGUUUACGGUCCGAGCUUCAAAGAUCGUAAACUCAGUUCUUGAGUUUACGGCCGUAAACUCAGCCACCUGCUGAAACCGUAAACUCAUUUCAGAAACCGUAAACCCAUCUUCAGAGACCGUAAACUCGAGUUCUAAGGCUGAAAACCCAUUUCUUCGAUUCAAGCAAUUCUUGGUAACAUUCCUCAACCGAAUUCAAGUGUUCUUAUGACACUUUAUUUAUCAAAAUCGCUAAUUUAGAUACAUAUACGUAUUUAUUUGAUAAUAGGAUUUCGUUAAGUGUCACGUGCAACAACUCGGGAACCUUCUUUUCAGUCAACAACUCGACGCAACAACUGUGAGUUCAUACCCCUACAUUUUUCCGCAUUUUUAAGGUUUUCAGAGGGGGAAUACAAGCUAAACAUAAAUGUUUUCUUAUAAGCUAAACAUAAAUGUUUUCUGAAAUAUACAUAAAACUUAUGCAAAUUUCAUACUUUAUUUCCGUUUUAUACUAUGUCGAGCAUAAGGGACGUUUUCGCUAAAAUUGCAUAGUUUUUAUGGAUACGCUAUUCGCUACGUUAUACAUGCAAACUAUAAUGGGUAUAUAGUUUGGGAUUUCUCUAAAAAUUUAUCAAGCGUAGAAACUUUCUCUACUAAACAUAUGCACCGGAACAGAAACCGUUUACAGUUUAUAUCACUAUUUUAUCAUGAUUUUCAUAACUGUAACUUAUCACUAUACGCGGUAUACAUUCGGAUUUUCACUACGGUAGAACGCUACUGCAUUACGUGUAAACUAGAUUGUACGAUACUAUGAGGUGAUACUUCACUACUGUACCCUUAGGUGUACAGGGAUAAAUCCUACCACUGUAUAACCAGAGUCUCCUGGAGGGAGAGCGUGAGAUUUGUCAAUAGAUCUAUUCGGGACUGACAAUCCCACAUCUGGACUGCUAGCUACAGCUAGGCAGGCACGCUUGAGAUGUACAAAUGUCAUUUAGCAUCAACUCCUGAAGAACGUUGGAAAGGUCACUAGUCAUAUCAAGCAUAGUUAUACGACUCACAUUAUGUAUAAAUCAACGAUAGUUUACCAACCUGGUUUUCUUCAGUAGUUUUAUUUAUACCAAAUAGAACUAAACACAUUAUGCAUACUGGACGAGCCAGUUUUUUUUCAAAACCGAAUCAUUUAUGCUACGGUUUUACAUUUAAAUACCCAUACUUCAUGAUUAGCUUUAGCUAGCCACAUGAAGUAGUAUUUUGCAUAUCUCUACAAUUUUCAGAAACAAACAUUCAUGGUUGUAUACGAAAUCGAUCUCACUACGUUUUUCACUAAAGAAAAUAUCGGAUUUCCUUGAAACUACAUAAUCAUUUUGGCUCGCUCAUCAACAAGUUUUCAUUACAAAUUACUGCUUAUGAACUCACCAGCUUUAUGCUGAUAUUUUUCAAACUGCUUGUAUUCUCAGGAAAUCAGUGGACAGGUACUUGCUGGAUUUUCGAGGAACUGAAGCAUUACGAGUUUUUAAGUUUUUUUUAAUGCAAAACUAUUGGUUGUGUUACUAUGAUUGCUAUUAUUCAUUGGUUGUGAUGCUAUACAUGACGUCCUCCGCCCCGGAACGUUUCCGCCAUCGGUUACAGGGUGUGACACGAAGCGCAAGCCGAAGCAGGUUCAGACAGCAAUGGGUUAGGUGAAGAGGCCCAAGGUAUCUGAUUCACAGCCUAGUGGCUAGUAGGGCUUGAUCUGUUGUGGCAAGUUCGGAAAACCGCACAGUGGGGCAUGUCGAGUAGCGGGAUCAGGUUAUUUUAGAUGUGGACAGACUGGGCAUUUGAGUAGUGAUUGCCCUCGAGUGCACUAAUUUUCUUUCAUUGCAAUCAGACUAAACUUAAAAAGGCUAAUUAUUUGAGGCUGAUGGGAGGAGCAGUGGAUGAGCGUGAACCAUCCAGCUUGAGGAUUACUGAUGGCCGCCAGGGCAAGGCGGAGGCACCUGAGGUGAAGAGUAGGGAAUUCCAAUUGACUACUGAUGAGGCUCGAGCAGCAUUAGAUGUGGUUACGGGUAUGUAUCUUUAUCAUAUAUUUUAUUGCUUUGCUCAUUUAUGUUUAUGUUUUAUCUGAUCAUGUAUACAAAAUUUGUUAGUCAAUGGUAUGAUUUCUCAUGUUCUAUUCAAUUUGGGUGCUACCCGAUCUUUUGUAUCUCGUGCGCAUAACAAGAAGUUUAGUGAUGCUCCUGAGAUUUUGGAUUAUCCAUUGGAGUUGGAGAUCAUGGGUGAUCAUUUUGUGAGUUUUUCAAGGGUUCAUCGAGGAUGUGUUCUCUACAUGUUGAGCAAGAGUUAUUCGAUUCAUUUGGUUUCAAUUCCUCUGCGAGGGUCGAAGGUUAUUGUGGGGAUGGAUUGGUUGGCCCCAAUGAGGCCAUGAUUGAUUGUGAGAACUAGUUAGUGAGGGUUGAAUCCCAAGUAGGGUAUAACUGGUUAUUCAUGGCGAGGGUGUUCAACGUGGAUCGACUCUCUAUUCAGAUGUGAGAACUAGGAGAUAUCUCUAGAAGGGUUGUUAUGCAUUUUGGGCCUAUGUGAUGGAUACUCGAGUUGAGGGAACGACAGCCGUGGGUGAUGUACCCAUUGUACAGGAGUUUCCCGAUGUGCUUCUUAAGGACUUACCUAGAGUACCCCUCCAAGAUGCAGGUCGAGUUCUGGAUUGAUUAGGUUCCCGGAGUGGCUCCGAUAGUCAUGGCACCGUAUCGUUUAGAACCUCCGGAGAUCCAGGAGUUGUCUACACAGCUGCAGGAGCUGCUAGACAAGGGUUUUAUCAGAACGAGUAAUUCGCCAUGAGGAGCAUCGAUCCUGUUCGUGAAAAAGAAGGACGGUUCACACAGGAUGUGCAUUGACUAUCAGGAGUUAAAUAAGUUAACGAUGAAGAACCUUUAUUCGUUCCUGAGGAUCAACGAUAUAUUUGACCAACAUCACGGUGCAUAUUGGUUCUCUAAGAUUGAUUUAUGAUUGGGUUACCAUCAGAUGAGAUUCAGAGACGAGGAUGUGCAUAAGACAACCUUUAGGACUUGUUAUGGUCAUUACGAGUUUGUGGUGAUACCAUUCGGGCUCACGAACGCACCAGCAACGUUCAUGGAUCUGAUGAACUGGGUGUGUAGAACUAUGUUGCAUUAGUUGGUGAUCAUGUUUAUUGACGAUAUUCUGGUCUACUCCAAGACCAAGGAACAACACGAGGAUCAUUUACGGGAGGUAUUGGAGACCCUAAGGAGGGAGAGGCUUUAUGUCAAAUUCUCUAAGUGCGAGGUCUGGUUACACGAGGUGCAGUUCUUGGGGCACAUCGUUAACCAAAAACGUAUAUUGAUCAAUUCAGACAAGAUUGGGGUGGUGAUGAUGUGCGAGGUUCCGAGGACGCCAUCUGAUAAUCGUAGUUUUCUUGGCCUGGUAGAUUAUUAUCGGAGAUUUAUCCCGAACUUCUCCUAGAUUGUAGUGCCAUUGACCUGCUUGAUGAAGAAGAGUGUCACUUUCUGAUGGGGGACUGAUAAGUAGGUAACUUUCGAGAAGCUGAGAAACAGAUUGUGCAAGGCUCCAAUUCUCACUCUUCCUGAGGACACGGAUGAUUUCGUGGUCUAUUAUGGCACAUCGAUUUCGGGAUUAGGUGUAGUGCUAAUGCAAAGAGAUCACAUGAUUGCUUACGCUUUGCGACAACUGAAGCCUUAUGUGGCAAAUUACCAUACACACGAUCUGGAGUUGGGGUUGUGGUUUUUUCCCUGAAGAUUUGGAGGCAUUACUUGUAUCGGGUCAAGUGCAUUAUCUAUACUAACCACAAGAGCCUAAGAUACAUGAUAGAUCAUUUGAAUCUUAAUAUGGGGCAAAAAAGGUGGUUGGAAGUGGUGAAGGACUAUGACUAUGAGAUUUUGUAUUGCCCAGGGAAGGCUAGUGUUGUGGAAGACUGCUUGAGUCGUUAGGCCGUGAGUACGCAUAUCAGAGAUUUAUGUUUGAGGAUGGUUAUUGUUUCUCCUCUGUUAGAUAUUAUCAAGAAAGCUCGGGUAGAAGGGUUGAAUAAGGAAAAUUUGAACAAUGAGCAAAUCAAGGGUUAAAUUCCUUUAUUUGUCAAGGAUAUUCGCGGAUUACCAACUCAGUGUGGUAAGGUUUGGGUCCUGGUUGCUGGUCAACUUAGACAGACACUAAUGGAGGAGGCUUAUAAAUCAAAGUUCUAGAUCCAUCUGGGGGCCACGAAGAUGCAUAGGGAUUUGAGGUUGAGUUAUUGGUGGCCCUGUAUGAACAAGGAUGUAGCAUGUUUUGCGAAGCAGUGAUUGACUUUUCGGAAAGUCAAGGCCAAACAUGAGAGACCCCAUGGCAAGAUGCAACCAUUACCUAUUCCCGUGUGGAAAUGAGAGGAGAUCACCAUGGAUUUUAUCACGAAGUUACCGAGGACGACACGUGGGAUUGACUCUAUCUAGUUCAUCGUUGAUAGAUUGAGGAAGAGUGUUCAUUUCAUACCGAUCGCUAAGAGUAUAUCUACUGAGAAGCUGGUCGAAAUUUACAUCCGGGAGGUGGUGGUUCGGCACGAGGUGCUAGGUUUGGUGGUUUCAGAUCGAGAUGUUCGCUUCACCUCCAGGUUUGAUGGAAAUUACAUGAGGUUUUGGGUACUUAGCUACAUUUCAGUAGAACAUAUCUCCCCCAGAUCGACGGACAAAGUGAGAGGACUAUUCAGAUGCUCGAGGAUAUGGUCUGGGCGUGUGUUCUUAAUUUUGGAUGGAGUUAGGAUACUUAUCUUCCUUUAGCCGAGUUCUCAUACAACAAUAGCUAUCAUACAAGGAUUAAUCGACCUCUCUUCAGAAUAAGUUAUGAGAGGAAGUUUUGGACCCUGGUGUGUUAGGGAGAGGUCAUACGUCAGAUGAUGGGGAGUACUGAGGUAGUACUCAAGACCACCGAGUUAAUUCAAUUGGUUUGCGGUCGGCCGUUGACCGUGCAAAAUCACCAGAAGAUUUCUGUUGACCGGCGACGAAAAGACCUCGAGUUCCUGGUGGGAGGUUAUGUGCUUCUGAAGGUGUCUCCAUGGAAAUGUGUCAUCCGAUUCUGGAAGCGGGGAAAGUUGGGCCUCCGAUAUAUUGGUCCCUUCAGGAUUAUCGCCCGGGUGGGCAAGGUUGUGUACCGGUUGGGUGUUCAGAUCUGCUCAACCAGAUCCAAAACACAUUCCAUGUCUAUUAGUUAUGAAAGUGUGAAGCUAAUGCUUCCACAAUGGUUCCUUUGGAUGAUAUUCAGGUCAAUAAGCGUCUGAACUAUGUAGAGAGACCGAUCGUUAUCGUUGAGAAAAAGAAUAAUCCCUUGCACAACAAGGUGGAGGGCUUAGUUAAGGUGUAAUAGAAGCACCAAGGGGUUUAGAGUGGAUUUGGGAGCCUGGGGAGGAUAUGAGGGAGCACUAUCGGAAGUUAUUUGCAGCAGCGGACUUUAAGGACGAAGUCUUAUUCAAGUGGGGGAGACUUGUAACAUCCGAAUCUAAGGGUACAUUUUAUUUUAAAUAUUCUUAUCUACUGAUCUAUUCAAUGCUGGAAUCCGACCCGCUAUUAAUGUGGGGAUCUCUGUUUCCAGAGUGGGGUCUGCAGCUCAAAUUAAAGCUAUGAAACAAGUAGCCGGUAAAUUAAAAUUGGAACUGGCACAAUUCGCAGAAUUAGAAGCUUUUGCACAAUUUGCUUCUGAUCUCGAUAAAGCUACUCAGAAUCAGGAGCGACCUCUCAUCAUCUUACUUUCGGCUCUUGGAGUAAGGGGGGGAAGGGCUGAGUGCCGGUCCGCAGAUCCAUUCUUCUAUACAAUAAAUCCCCAUCUCGUAGCACCACCACGACACCGAUUCCUCGACAAAACCCCCGAUUUCCCAAGAGUGCGGCUGCCUCCAUUAUGUUGUUGCUAGCAAAUACCACUAUUUUUGGUUAUGGCUCUCCCAAAUCGUUCCCGCAGGAGAUCUAGACCCUUCUUUUUCUGAUCCUUCGAUAAAAAGAUUCAUUCUCUUCAUAAAAAAUAGGAAGUAGAACCAAUAAAACCAAUAAAGAUGUCGUUUUCCAUUCAUACCUGGGGUAUGGGGUUUCAAGUCUUUUUCCAGUCAAAAUUGACUAAUAGGCAAUCCGUCUACAACAAACAAGUGGGAGAGGCAGGAUUCGAACCUACGUAGAAAAACUUCAACAGAUUUACAGUCUGUCGCUUUUGAUCACUCGACCACUUUCCCCUUCCCGGGCCGAGGCCCCCCUUCGUAGCUUCUGGCGAAGCUGCGAGUUCAUGAACAAGUGAAUGAACAAGCCACGUUCAUCCCAACAAACCCAUGAUGAACAUAGAGGAACCCGAUGAGGGAAGUGGGACAAUGUUCAGACCUUGGCUGUCACAACAAGCAACCAAUUAGUUCCAGUCCCAAGGGUGGGUAAAACGAGGCCUCGACGGAUGGGAACUCCUACUCUGAUAGGGUCCCGCGGCUUCAAUUAAUUUCAUUUUGAUUAUAGGGAAAGAAAAAGCAACGAGCUUCCAUUCUUAAUUUGAAUCAUUACCCAAUCUAAUUAGACGUUAAAAAAAAUAUUAGUUCCCAAUACGGGAAGGCAUUCUCCCAGGAAUGUAUUCUUGAUUUUUUAAUGAAUCCUAAAUGUUACCAUUCUCCAUUCCAUAAUGGAGAUGUGUGUGUAUAAGAAACAGUAUAUUGAUAAAAAAUUUCCCAAAUCAAAAGAGAGAUUGGGUUGAAAAAAAGUAAAGGAUUUCUAAUCAUCUUGUUAUCCUAUAACGAAAACGAACAUAAAUAUUGAAAUUGAAAUGGAAAAAGAGAGGCUAGAGAAUCUGUUGAUAAGUUUAUCUGUAUCCGAGGUAUCUAUUCGGUUUGUACUAUAAUACCUUGUUUUGACUGUAUCGCACUAUGUAUCAUUUGAUAACCCCCAAAAUCCUCUACCUUUCAUUUAAAUAGAAUUUCAAAUGGAGAAAUUCCAAAGCUAUUUAGGGCUAGAUAGAUCUCAACAACACCACUUCUUAUAUCCACUUAUCUUUCAGGAGUAUAUUUAUGUACUUGCUCAUGAUCAUGGUUUAACUAGAUCGAUUUUGUUGGAAAAUGCAGGUUAUGACAAUAAAUCCAGCUUACUAAUUGUGAAACGUUUAAUCAAUCGAAUGUAUCAACAGAAUCAUUUGAUUCUUUCGGUUAAUAAUUCUAAACAGACUCCAUUUUUGGGGCACAACAAGAAUUUUUAUUCGCAAGUAAUGUCCGAGGUCUCUUCAAUCAUUAUGGAAAUUCCAUUGUCUCUGCGAUUAAUAUCUUACCUAGAAAGGAAAGGGGUAGUCAAAUCCGAUAAUUUACGAUCAAUUCAUUCAAUAUUUUCUUUUUUAGAGGACAACUUUUCACAUUUAAAUUAUGUAUUAGAUAUACUAAUACCUUACCCAGCCCAUCUGGAAAUCUUGGUUCAGGCUCUUCGCUAUUGGAUAAAAGAUGCUUCCUCUUUGCAUUUAUUAAGAUUCUUUCUCCAUGAGUGUCAUAAUUGAGAUAGUCUGAUUACUUCAAAUUCAAAGAAUGCCAGUUCUUCUUUUUCGGCUUUCAGGGACUAGGUAGGGUGGAUUACAGUGCUAGGGGCUAAGGUUUGUCCAUUGGGAUUGGGCAUGGACGAACCUCGACUGGGCAUCGCUCUCGCACUCCUCCCAUCCGCGAAGCUGAGGCGGGAGAAAAAGCAUAACUCCCCGGUCUCAUAGGUUACCUUUCGAUCUUCCUCCCCCGUGACGCUCCCAAAUCGAUCGCUAUCCUUUUCUUGCUUUCUUGUUGUCUUGAAUUGUUAUAGAGCGGCUUUAUAUCAGGUAUAGUUGGUAGGAUGAAGUGGGAUGAAGCCUUAGUGGGUAUAGCAAGUGUGACGGGGAGGCGGCUCGGGCGUAGUGGGUCUGGACGCCUAGCACGUGUUCUGGGGAUUUUGUAAAAGAUUGGAAAUCUUUCAACCUAAAUUUCAAAUAAAGAUUAUAUUAUAAUGGUCGAAGCAAGACUUCCCGAUUCCCUUCUACUGCUAAUGUCUACUGAUUGGGUCUUGAAUUUCUUUGGCAUAGCCGGCGGCGGCUAACUAGUUGUGGAAAGUCCGGCAAAACGGGUCGCCAUUUCGCGGAAUCGAACGCCCUAAGAGGAAGAUUUCAUUUUCUUUCUGUUACAUGGAACGAAGUUGAUCCAUGGUUAUCGGGAUAUCUAUGUUGAAAGAGAACCUAACCUGAAGAGUCAUUGGUUUUGCAGGUCGGUAUACACGAGGGUACAUUAGUCUUUUGGGAAUUGGCAACAUUGACAGAAAGGGGAAAGGGUAGGAAUACACUUUUUUAGGUGUAGCUAUACUAAAGUAGUUGGCCUAACCUUCGGUUCCCGUAACCAAGUUUUUCUUUAUCAUUCCUUAUGUACUUUUUCUUACUUCAUCCAUACUNAAGUUAGGAAUAAGAUCACAGCUUAUCCCGCCACAAAGCGAUUAAAAUCUCUUUUCCAUAGGCGCUAACUCUUACUUAAACAGCUUCGCUUCCUUCCCCAGAUGCAUGAGAUGAAGGAAAGCGAGGGCGAAAGGAAGGCUUUGACUAACUCCUUCUAGGGUGUAAUUCCAAGCUCUCGUAUGGCUAUGAGACUCAGAAUCAGGUGUCCCACCUUAGUAAGCUUUCAGGAAAGUCAGGACUAUUUAUUGCCGCAUCAAGGAAAGAUGAAAUAUUUUCUGUUAAUACUCUUUAUUCCCACAUUUUUUGAAUCCAAGGAGUUUGAUAUCCAUCUAAAAAAAAUAGAAGAGAGAAAGUCUAAUUCCACAUCUAUUAGGGGCACUAAGUAUAUGGUGUAAGUCCUUGAUGUGUUAGCUAGGCCACCUGCCUGAAGCGUUGAAGUUAGAAAAUUAUGGUUGCUUGUUGAUUGAUUCGGCGUAACGAGUGAUAGAGAUACCUUACGAGGGUUUAAGGCAAGAAGUUCGUUCAGGAUGUUAAACUUUUUUCAAUCGGGCUGUGGACCCAAAGACAUUCAGAUUGAUGAGACUUGGGAACGACGUCUUGCGUUAUCCAUAGAUAAGAACGAAUCAGAUCGACUCGACUGAUAUGAUAGAUGGAAUGGUAGCUUGUUUUAUGAUUUAGUUAGGACUCUGUCUCCCUUUUGUGAUCUUCCGCCCUCCGGUUGGGGAAGGUCCGGAAAGCCCUCACUCCCUCUUUUUCAAAAAGAAGCCCCGCUCAACAAGGGGCCCUCUCUGAUAAGGAAGAAAAUGAAAGAAUCUCAAUUUUAC
rnacentral:lncRNA from 1 species